GACGGCCAUCAAGGAUUCAUUUUGCGAACCUUGACCGACCGCCAGAUAAGCGUUCAUGCCCAAUUCUUUCAUCUGCUCUUCACCAAUCACUUUGGUGGUCAGAUUGGCCGCGUUGUCAGCAAGCUGGCGCGCCUGCGAUGCCAAAUACGCGGCAUUACAGAUAUUGGGGGGCAUAUUCGCCAGAUCUUUUGC
rnacentral:antisense_RNA from 1 species